AUGUCAAGGCAUGGUGUAAUCAUGCACUGCAGUUACUGUGGUGAGCCUGACCACAAUAUCAAGGGAUGCAAAUAUAUGAAAGCUGGUCUACCGCCUCCCAAUGCACAAGCUCCUCCACCCCAACAUGAUGACAAUUUGGAAACUUCACAAGCCAAUAUGGAGCAACAGCCACCUCCAGAACAAGCCAAUAUGGAGCAGCAGGCCAACACAAGUGCAGAGACCAGUACAUUAGUACAAGAUCUUAUGGUGGAUCACAUGCUUCAGCAGGCCCAGACAAGCACUAACACAAUCAGGCAGGGGGAGCUAGCUAAGAAGAUGUUGGCAAUGAAGCAGCAAAGAGAGAAGGAACUUCAAGACAAGAAACAAGCUAUACUAGAGGCAAGGAUAGAAGCAGAGUUGAAGAAAGCAGAAGAGGCUGCUAGAAGAAGGCAUGAGAAAGCAGAAAAGAAGGCUAUAGAAGCUGAGAAGAAGAGAGAGGCAGCUGCACAGAAGAAGGAAACAAUGGCCAUCCUGAGGCAAGCAAGAGCAGAGACAAGGCAGAUAAUAGUGGAGACACAAAGAGAGCUUUCUGCUGAGAGGAAGGAGAAACUGGCUGCUGAGAAGAAGGCACAAAAGGAGGCUGCUGCUGCAAAGAAACUAGAAGAGAAGAAAGCCAUUGCUACACAGAAGGAAUCAGAGAGACAAGCACUCCUAGCAAAGAAGCAGGAAGAGAAACAAGCCCUUGCUGCAAAGAAACAAGCAGAGAGACAAUCCAUUGCAGCAAAGAAGGAGCAGCUGAGGAAACAAGCACAAAGAAACAUGGAGGGAGCUGGGCAUGUGCCAGAAAGAUCAAGCAUGUUUAACAUCUCUAGAUGA
rnacentral:rRNA from 1 species